UUGGCUCUGCUUCAACCGAAGCCUGACGUUAUGCGUCAGAGAUUCAUGUAGGUUGGGUGGGGCCGG
rnacentral:ncRNA from 1 species